GUUGAAAAGCAUCAAAACGAUGAUUUAGAAGAAAGCGUACCUUAUCCAACAGCUUUUCACCCGAGAUCUGAAUCCGAUAUAGUUCAAUGGCAGAAUUACAUCCGGAACUACGACCGUACAAAGCUCUUCUCCUUCGUCGGAGCUAAGCGUGAGAAAAUCAAAAACGAUUUCCGAGGAGUACUAAUGGAUUACUGUAAAUCCGAAGAAAACUGCCUCGCCGUCGACUGCGCCACCACCGUCUGUUCCGACGGAGCACCAGCGAUUAUGGAAGCGUUUCUAGAUUCCGAUUUCUGCUUACAGCCACGAGGAGAUGGGUUAACUAGACGAUCUACUUUUGACUGUAUGUUAGCUGGUUCAAUCCCGGUUUAUUUCUGGAGAGGAACAUUUAAAGGUCAGUAUGAAUGGCAUCUGCCAUGGAUGGCGGAGAGCUACACAGUAUUCAUCGAUCAUGAUAAUGUGAGAGAUACAAAUGGAAGUUUGAUUUUGCAAGUUUUGCAACAGAUUCAUAAAGAUAAAGUGAAGGAAAUGAGAGAGACAUUGAUUAAUCUUCUUCCUAAAUUUGUUUACGCAACUCCAGGUAAAGAUUUAGGAAGUGUUAAAGAUGCAUUUGAUAUCACCAUUGAUAGAGUAUUGAAGAGAUUGAAAUCUCGCAGAGAUCAGUAUUUUGAUUCGUAAGCAUUAUUGCCAUGCCAGAGGUUCGCUUCUUCAUUUUUUU
rnacentral:misc_RNA from 1 species